rnacentral:rRNA from 1 species
AUUGAACGCUGGCGGCAGGCCUAACACAUGCAAGUCGAGCGAGCUGCGGACGGGUGAGUAAUGUCGGGGAAACUGCCUGAUGGAGGGGUAUAACUACUAGAAACGGUAGCUAAUACCGCAUACCAUCAGAUGUGCCCAGAUGGGAUUAGCUAGUAGGUGGGGUAAAGGCUCACCUAGGCGACGAUCCCUAGCUGGUCUGAGAGUAUGACCAGCCACGUUGGAACUGAGACACGGUCCAGACUCCUACGUGAGUCAGCAGUGGGGAAUAUUGCACAAUGGGCGCAAGCCUGAUGCAGCCAUGCCGCGUGUAUGAAGAAGGCCUUCGGGUGGUAAAGUACUUUCAGCGGGGAGGCGUUACCCGCAGAAGAAGCACCGGCUAACUCCGUGCCAGCCGCCGCGGUAAUUC